AACGAACGCUGGCGGCAUGCCUAACACAUGCAAGUCGAACGAGACCUUCGGGUCUAGUGGCGCACGGGUGCGUAACGCGUGGGAACCUGCCCUUAGGUUCGGAAUAACUCCCCGAAAGGGGUGCUAAUACCGGAUAAUGUCUUCGGACCAAAGAUUUAUCGCCUUUGGAUGGGCCCGCGUUGGAUUAGCUAGUUGGUAGGGUAAAAGCCUACCAAGGCGACGAUCCAUAGCUGGUCUGAGAGGAUGAUCAGCCACACUGGGACUGAGACGCGGCCCAGACUCCUACGGGAGGCAGCAGUGGGGAAUAGUGGACAAUGGGCGAAAGCCUGAUCCAGCAAUGCCGCGUGAGUGAUGAAGGCCUUAGGGUUGUAAAGCUCUUUUACCCGGGAUGAUAAUGACAGUACCGGGAGAAUAAGCUCCGGCUAACUCCGUG
rnacentral:rRNA from 1 species